AUUUAUGUAGUUUAAAUAAAACAAUUUAUUUUCAAUGAAUAGUUGAACUUAGUUCCCUAAAUA
rnacentral:tRNA from 2 species